rnacentral:rRNA from 1 species
ACGUAGGGGGCAAGCGUUGUCCGGAUUUAUUGGGCGUAAAGCGCGUGUAGGCGGCCAUGCAGGUCCGCUGUGAAAACUCGAGGCUCAACCUCGAGACGUCGGUGGAAACCGCAUGGCUAGAGUCCGGAAGAGGAGAGUGGAGUUCCUGGUGUAGCGGUGAAAUGCGCAGAUAUCAGGAAGAACACCAAUGGCGAAGGCAGCUCUCUGGGACGGUACUGACGCUGAGACGCGAAAGCGUGGGGAGCGAACAGGA